rnacentral:tRNA from 1 species
GGAGGUAGCGAAGUGGCUAAACGCGGCGGACUGUAAAUCCGCUCCUUUGGGUUCGGCGGUUCAGAUCGACCCCUCCACCA